AGUGAACGCUGGCGGUAGGCCUAACACAUGCAAGUCGAACGGCAGCACAGUAAGAGCUUGCUCUUACGGGUGGCGAGUGGCGGACGGGUGAGGAAUACAUCGGAAUCUACUUUUUCGUGGGGGAUAACGUAGGGAAACUUACGCUAAUACCGCAUACGACCUACGGGUGAAAGCAGGGGAUCUUCGGACCUUGCGCGAUUGAAUGAGCCGAUGUCGGAUUAGCUAGUUGGCGGGGUAAAGGCCCACCAAGGCGACGAUCCGUAGCUGGUCUGAGAGGAUGAUCAGCCACACUGGAACUGAGACACGGCCCAGACUCCUACGGGAGGCAGCAGUGGGGAAUAUUGGACAAUGGGCGCAAGCCUGAUCCAGCCAUACCGCGUGGGUGAAGAAGGCCUUCGGGUUGUAAAGCCCUUUUGUUGGGAAAGAAAAGCAGCAGGUUAAAACCCCGCUGUUCUGACGGUACCCAAAGAAUAAGCACCGGCUAACUUCGUG
rnacentral:rRNA from 1 species